rnacentral:rRNA from 1 species
GAUGAACGCUGGCGGCGUGCUUAACACAUGCAAGUCGAGCGAAGCACUUAAGUCUGAUUCUUCGGAUGAAGACUUUUGUGACUGAGCGGCGGACGGGUGAGUAACGCGUGGGUAACCUGCCUCAUACAGGGGGAUAACAGUUAGAAAUGACUGCUAAUACCGCAUAAGACCACGGUACCGCAUGGUACAGUGGUAAAAACUCCGGUGGUAUGAGAUGGACCCGCGUCUGAUUAGGUAGUUGGUGGGGUAACGGCCUACCAAGCCGACGAUCAGUAGCCGACCUGAGAGGGUGACCGGCCACAUUGGGACUGAGACACGGCCCAGACUCCUACGGGAGGCAGCAGUGGGGAAUAUUGCACAAUGGAGGAAACUCUGAUGCAGCGACGCCGCGUGAAGGAUGAAGUAUUUCGGUAUGUAAACUUCUAUCAGCAGGGAAGAAAAUGACGGU